AAUACUGUUCAUCUAAAUUUGGCUUCUUGUUAUUUUCUUUUAUCUCUUUUAGAAACAAAGAACCAGUGGGCACGUGAUGAUCCUGCGUUUAUUGUUAUAUGCACUCUUCUGUUGGUGGUUGCUACUCUAGCAUACUGCACUGCGUAUGAUCAUAGUGCAGGACAUGCUGUUUUUGUAGUUAUCUCAGUAUUGCUUUUUCAUUUUAUACUCACUGGAGCUACUUAGGCAACAUGUUGCUGGUUCCUAACCAACAAUUACCUUCAACAGGAAGCUCCAAGCAGUCAUGCCGUGGAACAGCGGGUAGAAUGGCAAGUUCAGAACCUCUCCAUAACAAACUCUUCAUAUACUUAAUUCAGUCUGCUUCUUUCUCCUCAUUCAGAAUUCUGAAACUCUGCAUCUAGGGUUAAUGAAAUUUCACUUUCAUUUGUGAACUUCCUUACUUACACACUUUCUUGUCUCUCAUGAAGGUUGUAUGUGUUUGAUGUCCACUGCAAGUCUUUCUUCCCUAUGUUUGUUUUGCUUUACGUCAUACAUUAUUUUCUCUCCCCUGUUUUGGUAGCUCAUGGUUUCAUUCUUGUUUUGCUGUCAAAUUUGCUCUUCAUGGUCGGAGCUGCCUAUUAUCAUUACCUCAACUUUCUAGGUUAUGAUGUAUUGCCCUUUUUGGAGAAGACAACAUUCUUCCUGUAUCCAAUUGGCAUUGUUAUCGUCCUUUCACCCAUCUGUAAGUAUUUA